CCUCAUAGCCAAAGUGCCAGGUUCAAGCCCUGGUUCUGCCACUUGUUGGACACUCGAGCCACCUCUCAGAGCAUCUAAUUUCCUUAUCUCUGAAAGGAGAAUUAAUUACACGUUGGGCAUAGCGGCAAAACCUGUAACCCCAGCAUUUUGGAAGCUGAGGUAGGAGGAUGACAAGUUUGAAGGCAGCUUGGGUUACAUAGUGAGUUCAAAGCCAGCCUAUAUAUACUAAGACUCUGCCUCUGCAAACAGACCAAUGAAUAGCACCCAGCCCUAUGAAGAUGAGCAGAAUCCCAUUUGUGAAAAACCCAAUAUACUGCCCGGUAUAUGUGUAUCCCCUCAUGACAGCAUAUUGCCCUUUUCUUCCACAGAGUGAGCAACUCCAGGCUCCAAUUAAUGACUAUAUGACUCAUCCCAAUGUAGAGCUAAGAUCUACAGUCAUUGCUUUUUGCUGAACUCCCUGACGACAGAGUAGAGUAAAGGAUGGGGGUCAAGCCCAGCUUCUAACUCUGGAGACCUGGGCUGCCCUGCCGUCUCAGCUCCUCUUCCUGCUCUCUGAGAGGCCUUGGAUAGCCUGCCUGCGUGCCGCGCAGUGAUCCUGUCCUGGCAGAGUUGCUAUGAUGUUCCAGUGAUCCAUGGACACAGACAGGCUUGGUCAUCAGCUGUGUGUGUCAGGCCAUAAUGCCUUGAAGACGAAGAGGGAAGCCAUGGGAGACAAUAUGUGUCAAUCGCCAAAACGAAACGAUUUGGGAUGACAGGAAGGAGUCAAGGGUUAUCAGCAGAAAGAAGAAUCCAGAGUCUGGAUGACUGAGCUUGAGUCCUCGCCUCUAUCCCUCUCUAGCUGUGUGACCCUAGGCAAGUUGUUCAACCUUCUAGGCCUCAGUUUUGUCAUGUGUUAAAUGGGGAUAAUAGUAGCUUCUGCCAGAUGGGAUGGUUAUAGGGGUUAAAUGAGAUAAUGCUAGCUCAGUGCUUGCUGUAUACCACGGGUUUCAUAACAGCCAUUACGCUGCU